CCUACGGGAGGCUGCAGUGAGGAAUAUUGGUCAAUGGACGAGAGUCUGAACCAGCCAAGUAGCGUGAAGGAUGACUGCCCUAUGGGUUGUAAACUUCUUUUAUAUGGGAAUAAAAUGUUCCACGUGUGGGAUUUUGUAUGUACCAUAUGAAUAAGGAUCGGCUAACUCCGUGCCAGCAGCCGCGGUAAUACGGAGGAUCCGAGCGUUAUCCGGAUUUAUUGGGUUUAAAGGGAGCGUAGGUGGAUUGUUAAGUCAGGUGUGAAAGUUUGCGGCUCAACCGUAAAAUUGCAGUUGAAACUGGCAGUCUUGAGUACAGUAGAGGUUGGCGGAAUUCGUGGUGUAGCGGUGAAAUGCUUAGAUAUCACGAAGAACUCCGAUUGCGAAGGCAGUUCACUGGACUGCAACUGACACUGAGGCUCGAAAGUGUGGGUAUCAAACAGGAUUAGAUACCCUUGUAGUC
rnacentral:rRNA from 1 species